rnacentral:rRNA from 1 species
CCUANGGGUGGCAGCAGUCGAGAAUUUUUCUCAAUGGGGGAAACCCUGAAGGAGCGACGCCGCGUGGAGGAUGAAGGUCUUCGGGUUGUAAACUCCUGUCAUUUGAGAACAAAUUGGACGCAGUAACUACGCGUCCAUUGAUAGUAUCAGAAGAGGAAGAGACGGCUAACUCUGUGCCAGCAGCCGCGGUAAUACAGAGGUCUCAAGCGUUGUUCGGAUUCAUUGGGCGUAAAGGGUGCGUAGGUGGCGCCGUAAGUCAGGUGUGAAAUUUCGGAGCUUAACUCCGAAACUGCAUUUGAUACUGCGGUGCUUGAGGACUGGAGAGGAGACUGGAAUUUACGGUGUAGCAGUGAAAUGCGUAGAGAUCGUAAGGAAGACCAGUGGCGAAGGCGGGUCUCUGGACAGUUCCUGACACUGAGGCACGAAGGCCAGGGGAGCAAACGGGAUUAGAUACCCCGNUANUC